GGAAGCUGGCCUAUAGCACAGAAUCAGAAUGGAGAUCCAGAAGGCUCUCUGAAGUGCUGCUUUACUGGCCACGAAGAAGUUGGAUCCAUAGUGCCCUGUGUGGUGGGGGUUUGCAGUGAAUCACAGGCCCUGCUCCCAGAGUAGUUCACCUCCUAAACCACCCACUGCUUGAUUCAAUUAAUCCAAGAAAGCUCAGUAACGAGAUGGAUUUGGGAAGUGGCUUUGUGUGUUGUUAAGGCUAAACUCCAGUGCACCCACAGGGGAUGAGAAUUGCAGAACUGGGGCCCUCUGCCUCAGCAAGAAGGAGAUUUCAUCUCCCUCACCUACUGUACCUGGAGGAGAGUUGGGUAACAGUCUCCAUUGGCCAAACCCUGAAAUGACAUCACCUUUGGAGGAAUGCAACAAGAAUGUUUCAGAUGAUAAGAGUAAACAUGUUACCAGAAAAAAACUUGUGUUUCAAAUUCCAGGUGAAGUCCAGGGAAGCAGAAGUCACAUACAUCUUCAAGGAGAAACUUGGUGGUGCAGGACAGUGAGCCUUGACUUCAUUCCAAAGAACUGUCUUUGGAGACAUUUAGAAGGAGGAUACCCAAGAAGAUGGAGCAGUCUUUGUGUUAAGAGUGGACUAGGCAGCUGAAGAGUUGCCACAGGCUUUCAGGGGAUCACCAAAUCUGUGCAAAUCCUUCAGAUGAACAAGCCCACCCUCUGAAAUGCUUAAUCCAGGUGAUGGAGAAAGAAGAAAGAAAGGUUAUCCAGAGGUUUUGGGAAGAUAUUGUCUGAUGUGUCUGCAGAGUGGGACCCUGUUUGAGAGCUUUGGUCUGUGUAAAACAUGCCUGCCCACCACAGAGCCCCUGUGGGGAUAUAUCCAGGCAACACCUGCCUGCCAGGGAAGGCUUGAUACAUCAAGAAAACUUCAGAGAAGUUAUUAUUGCCUCACACCAAUGAACUUGCAGGAAUUAAAUAUCUUAGGUUCUAAAAAUCUGAGUGGGAAUUAUGAACCAGUUCCAACACUACUUGGGGCCAAUUCAUAUGCACAAACAUAA
ensembl:lncRNA